rnacentral:rRNA from 1 species
AUGAGCCAUACAAUGAAGCUAUGGGAGAGAGUCAUUGAGCACCGCUUAAGAAGAAUGACAAGCGUGACCAAAAAUCAGUUUGGUUUCAUGCCUGGGAGGUCGACCAUGGAAGCCAUUUUCUUGGUACGACAACUUAUGGAGAGAUAUAGGGAGCAAAAGAAGGACUUGCAUAUGGUGUUCAUUGACUUGGAGAAGGCCUAUGAUAAGAUACCGCGGAAUGUCAUGUGGUGGGCCUUGGAGAAACACAAAGUCCCAGCAAAGUACAUUACCCUCAUCAAGGACAUGUACGAUAAUGUUGUGACAAGUGUUCGAACAAGUGAUGUCGACACUGAUGACUUCCCGAUUAAGAUAGGACUGCAUUAG